rnacentral:rRNA from 1 species
GACGAACGCUGGCGGCGUGCCUAACACAUGCAAGUCGAACGGUGAAGGGAGCGGCUUUUUCUGGUUUUGGGUGCGGCGCGCGAGGGUGUGUCACACGUGAGGUCUCCCCCCCCUCCUUGUGGAACACCGCAUGAAAAAUUGUCUUAUCCCAGAUCUUCUUUGCCCGUAGCUUGGAGGGUGUGGGGAAGAAAUUGCUUCGGUGGGGGAUGGGCGCGCGUUCUAUUAGCUUGUUGGUGGGGUGAUGGCCUACCAAGGCGGUGACGGGUAGCCGGCCUGGGAGGGUGGACGGUCACACUGGGACUGAGACACGGCCCAGACUCCUACGGGAGGCAGCAGUGGGGAAUAGUGCACGAUGGGCGCAAGCCUGAUGCAGCGACGCCGCGUGAGGGAUGGAGGCCGUCGGGUUGUAAACCUCUUUCGCCAGUGAAGCAGGCCUGUCCCUUUUGUGGGUGGGUUGACGGUAGCUGGAUAAGAAGCGCCGGCUAACUACGUG